UGUUUAUGACGUCGACGUCAUAAACACCAAAUUUGAUCGUCUUUAUGACGUCGAAUAUCGACGUCAUAAACAUCUAAGUUGAUCGUGCUUAUGACGUGGAAUAUCGACGUCAUAACCACCUAAGUUGGUCGUGUUCAUGACGUCGAAUAUCGACGUAAUAAACACCAAAGUUGAUCCUGUUUAUGACGUCGACGUCAUAAAAA